GAUGAACGCUGGCGGCGUGCCUAAUACAUGCAAGUCGAGCGAACGGACGAGAAGCUUGCUUCUCUGAUGUUAGCGGCGGACGGGUGAGUAACACGUGGAUAACCUACCUAUAAGACUGGGAUAACUUCGGGAAACCGGAGCUAAUACCGGAUAAUAUUUUGAACCGCAUGGUUCAAAAGUGAAAGACGGUCUUGCUGUCACUUAUAGAUGGAUCCGCGCUGCAUUAGCUAGUUGGUAAGGUAACGGCUUACCAAGGCAACGAUGCAUAGCCGACCUGAGAGGGUGAUCGGCCACACUGGAACUGAGACACGGUCCAGACUCCUACGGGAGGCAGCAGUAGGGAAUCUUCCGCAAUGGGCGAAAGCCUGACGGAGCAACGCCGCGUGAGUGAUGAAGGUCUUCGGAUCGUAAAACUCUGUUAUUAGGGAAGAACAUAUGUGUAAGUAACUGUGCACAUCUUGACGGUACCUAAUCAGAAAGCCACGGCUAACUACGUGCCAGCAGCCGCGGUAAUACGUAGGUGGCAAGCGUUAUCCGGAAUUAUUGGGCGUAAAGCGCGCGUAGGCGGUUUUUUAAGUCUGAUGUGAAAGCCCACGGCUCAACCGUGGAGGGUCAUUGGAAACUGGAAAACUUGAGUGCAGAAGAGGAAAGUGGAAUUCCAUGUGUAGCGGUGAAAUGCGCAGAGAUAUGGAGGAACACCAGUGGCGAAGGCGACUUUCUGGUCUGUAACUGACGCUGAUGUGCGAAAGCGUGGGGAUCAAACAGGAUUAGAUACCCUGGUAGUCCACGCCGUAAACGAUGAGUGCUAAGUGUUAGGGGGUUUCCGCCCCUUAGUGCUGCAGCUAACGCAUUAAGCACUCCGCCUGGGGAGUACGACCGCAAGGUUGAAACUCAAAGGAAUUGACGGGGACCCGCACAAGCGGUGGAGCAUGUGGUUUAAUUCGAAGCAACGCGAAGAACCUUACCAAAUCUUGACAUCCUUUGACAACUCUAGAGAUAGAGCUUUCCCCUUCGGGGGACAAAGUGACAGGUGGUGCAUGGUUGUCGUCAGCUCGUGUCGUGAGAUGUUGGGUUAAGUCCCGCAACGAGCGCAACCCUUAAGCUUAGUUGCCAUCAUUAAGUUGGGCACUCUAAGUUGACUGCCGGUGACAAACCGGAGGAAGGUGGGGAUGACGUCAAAUCAUCAUGCCCCUUAUGAUUUGGGCUACACACGUGCUACAAUGGACGAUACAAAGGGCAGCGAAACCGCGAGGUCAAGCAAAUCCCAUAAAGUUGUUCUCAGUUCGGAUUGUAGUCUGCAACUCGACUACAUGAAGCUGGAAUCGCUAGUAAUCGUAGAUCAGCAUGCUACGGUGAAUACGUUCCCGGGUCU
rnacentral:rRNA from 1 species